GACGAACGCUGGCGGCGCGCCUAACACAUGCAAGUCGAACGGAGUCAAGAGGAGCUUGCUUUUCUUGACUUAGUGGCGAACGGGUGAGUAACGCGUGAGUAACCUGCCCUGGAGUGGGGGACAACAGUUGGAAACGACUGCUAAUACCGCAUAAGCCCACGGAUCUGCAUGGAUCUGCGGGAAAAGGAUUUAUUCGCUCUAGGAUGGACUCGCGUCCAAUUAGCUAGUUGGUGAGGUAACGGCCCACCAAGGCGACGAUUGGUAGCCGGACUGAGAGGUUGAACGGCCACAGUGGGACUGAGACACGGCCCAGACUCCUACGGGAGGCAGCAGUGGGGGAUAUUGCACAAUGGGGGAAACCCUGAUGCAGCGACGCCGCGUGGAGGAAGAAGGUUUUCGGAUUGUAAACUCCUGUCGUUAGGGACGAUAAUGACGGUACCUAACAAGAAAGCACCGGCUAACUACGUG
rnacentral:rRNA from 1 species